GAUGAACGCUGGCGGCGUGCUUAACACAUGCAAGUCGAACGGUGAACGAGGGAGCUUGCUCCCUCCGGAUCAGUGGCGAACGGGUGAGUAACACGUGAGCAAUCUGCCCUGGACUCUGGGAUAAGCGUUGGAAACGACGUCUAAUACCGGAUACGAGACGCGAAGGCAUCUUCAGCGUCUGGAAAGAACUUCGGUCCAGGAUGAGCUCGCGGCCUAUCAGGUAGUUGGUGAGGUAACGGCUCACCAAGCCUACGACGGGUAGCCGGCCUGAGAGGGUGACCGGCCACACUGGGACUGAGACACGGCCCAGACUCCUACGGGAGGCAGCAGUGGGGAAUAUUGCACAAUGGGCGCAAGCCUGAUGCAGCAACGCCGCGUGAGGGACGACGGCCUUCGGGCUGUAAACCUCUUUUAGCAGGGAAGAAGCGGAAGUGACGGUACCUGCAGAAAAAGCACCGGCUAACUACGUGCCAGCCGCCGCAGUAAAAC
rnacentral:rRNA from 1 species